rnacentral:rRNA from 1 species
AGUGAACGCUGGCGGUAGGCCUAACACAUGCAAGUCGAACGGCAGCACAGUAAGAGCUUGCUCUUACGGGUGGCGAGUGGCGGACGGGUGAGGAAUACAUCGGAAUCUACUUUUUCGUGGGGGAUAACGUAGGGAAACUUACGCUAAUACCGCAUACGACCUACGGGUGAAAGCAUGGGAUCUUCGGACCUUGCGCGAUUGAAUGAGCCGAUGUCGGAUUAGCUAGUGGGCGGGGUAAAGGCCCACCAAGGCGACGAUCCGUAGCUGGUCUGAGAGGAUGAUCAGCAACACUGGAACUGAGACACGGUCCAGACUCCUACGGGAGGAAGCAGUGGGGAAUAUUGGACAAUGGGCGCAAGCCUGAUCCAGCCAUCCCGCGUGGGUGAAGAAGGCCUUCGGGUUGUAAAGCCCUUUUGUUGGGAAAGAAAAGCAGCAGGUUAAUACCCCGCUGUUCUGACGGUACCCAAAGAAUAAGCACCGGCUAACUUCGUG